GCAGCGGCUGUGCUCUGAUAUAAUAGAGCUGCUAGGACCAACGCCGUCCCCGCCCCGCAGCGUCCUCUCCCCUGACUCUCAGCAGCCUUGAAUCCUGGUCUGGCUCGGCAAAGGCCUCGGCAGGAGGAAGAGGAGGAGGCCCGCCGGCAUCAGACCAAUGCUGGAAGGGGUGUGAGGAGAGGAACCGCCGCCCGUCUCCGAGCUGCCAGACCCGGAAGGAGUAUGGAGCUGGAGUGAAGUGGAGGGCCACGGGCUGCUGACAGGCACGUGGGUCACUGGUGGCUCACGGAUCACUGAGG